CUGUAAUAAGCUGCCCUGCGAUAUCUCCUGCAAAUAGAGGAACAAUCAUAUAAGAUGCAAAGCAAACUUUCCGUCAGGUUAACAGAAAUGAAAUAUUUUAUUACUUCUGUACUAAACAAAACCCAAUUAAAUCACCAUCAAAGUUUAGAGCUAGACCAAGCUUGGUUUUUUCUCUCAAGUUACAAAAUACUUACCCAAAGGGCCGACGAGUUCUAGGG